GCUCUGGUGGCCUAGUGGUUAGAGCGUCCGCCUCAGAUGCGGACGGUUGUAGGUUUGAUGCCCGGUUGAGUCAUAACA